UACGUAGGCAGCGAGCGUUGUUCGGAAUUACUGGGCGUAAAGAGUGUGUAGGCGGUGCUCUAAGUUCGGUGUGAAAUCUCACGGCUUAACUGGGAGGGUGCGCCGGAAACUGGAGUGCUCGAGCGUGGGAGAGGAAAGCGGAAUUCCUGGUGUAGCGGUGAAAUGCGCAGAUAUCAGGAGGAACACCGGUGGCGAAGGCGGGUCUCUGGGCCGAAACUGACGCUGAGGAGCGAAAGCGUGGGGAGCGAACAGG
rnacentral:rRNA from 1 species